UACGUAGGGGGCAAGCGUUGUCCGGAAUCAUUGGGCGUAAAGCGCGUGUAGGCGGUUCAGGAAGUCUGCUGUGAAAGUCCAGGGCUCAACCCUGGGAUGCCGGUGGAUACUGCUGGGCUAGAGUACGGAAGAGGCGAGUGGAAUUCCCGGUGUAGCGGUGAAAUGCGCAGAUAUCGGGAGGAACACCAAUUGCGAAGGCAGCUCGCUGGGACGUUACUGACGCUGAGACGCGAAAGCGUGGGGAGCAAACAGG
rnacentral:rRNA from 1 species